GUGAGGAAUAUUGGACAAUGGGCGCAAGCCUGAUCCAGCCAUGCCGCGUGCAGGAAGACGCAUCUAUGGUGUGUAAACUGCUUUUGUACGGGAAGAAACACUCCCUCGUGAGGGAGCUUGACGGUACCGUAAGAAUAAGGAUCGGCUAACUCCGUGCCAGCAGCCGCGGUAAUACGGCGGAUCCAAGCGUUAUCCGGAAUCAUUGGGUUUAAAGGGUCCGUAGGCGGUUUAAUAAGUCAGUGGUGAAAGCCCAUCGCUCAACGAUGGAACGGCCAUUGAUACUGUUAGACUUGAAUUACAAGGAAGUAACUAGAAUAUGUAGUGUAGCGGUGAAAUGCUUAGAUAUUACAUGGAAUACCAAUUGCGAAGGCAGGUUACUACUUGUGGAUUGACGCUGAUGGACGAAAGCGUGGGGAGCGAACAGGAUUAGAAACCCGGGUAGUCC
rnacentral:rRNA from 1 species